rnacentral:lncRNA from 1 species
AGAUGAUAAAGUUUUUAUUAUUGUGUGGAACAAAAUGAACAUCAGGAAAACUGCCCUCUGCUCCCCCAAGCUUGAAGGCCAGCGUCAGCCCCCACUCCAGCAUUACAAGCUGUACCUGAGCAAACACACCCUGAACAUCUGCAGCAUCCAGUAUGUCCCAGCAGAGACCUUCAGUGAGGGUGAGAUACCAGGGAAGAGGCAAGUGCUGACACGGAGCACCUCCUCGCUCUAACCUUCCAAAAUGCCUGAUUCCAUGCUAGCUGCCAGAGCUGGGUUCUGAAAGGUUUCAGCCACCUCCCUGCUUGUGUGUAGGGAUCUCGUGUGACUUCAGGGGACCUGCUCACGAGCUGUCCUGUUUUUCACACCAGCAACAGUCACAGCCUUCACCUUGAGCAAGCAGAGUGGCAGCUGCUGCAGCCGGAAUGGUCAAAAGCUGGGCACAGGGCACAAACACACCUGGAAGCUGCAAUGUGCUGAUCAUACCAGCAUUAAAGUGAUGGAGAGGGAGGGCCCAGGUUCUAGUUUAAUCCCCUCACAUGGAAAUUGUGUGGGUCUCACUUUCUCCAUGGGGGUGAGUCGCACUGGGUUUGGGUGCAGGAAUUUGACAUCUUUUCAACAGGUACAGCACAUACACAAAACUGUAACACUGCACUCAGUGUCCUCCCCAUCCAUCUCUGGUGUCUCACCCCUUCAAAGGAGGGUAUCCACACUCAAAUUCUAGGCUUUUCAUAUUUCAACACUGUUUACAACUACUAAUCUACUGUAAGGGACAGCAGCAAGGAAAUGGAUCCAGUAACUGCCAUGAGGGGGGAAAAAAGAGCAGAAAAACUACAUGAAGUUUCCCCCUGUUCAUGGUCCAAACUAGCACCAGCCACAAAAUCUCAGCUCUGACAUGCUUUUUAAUGCAGUCCCAGCCGGGCUACUGAACAGAAAAUCCCCUCUGAGGAAUUAAACCACUAACCCCUAAUAACAUUUGUACAAACCCAAAUGCAUUUGUUGUUACAUAAAUACAUCAGUUUUCUAUGGACUACAAAACAUUCUGCGGUCUUCAAGACUGAUGUAGGCUUCCAGUACAAACCCAACACAACUGUGACCUGCUGCGUGUUCGUAAGGAAGCCACCACUGCUUUUUGGAGUAACGUGAAAUUCCAUGAGAUGACAGCAACAAAGAAUGAUGUAGCAUAAACUGUGAAACCUCUUUAAACUGUGUUUCAAACUACCACUUCUAGUAGGUGCAGCGCAUUCCGAUUUCAUCUCGCCGCCUUUUUGAUCUAACAGAAAGAAAGUGAAACGCCAGGUUUAUCAUGGUGACUCUUUCAUGUGUGCAAGGGGGAAAGGUGGAGUGAAGUGGCCCUAAAUCACCUUCUGUGUCUAAAUACUUGGGACUCCAAUUCCUCUGUUACCACACCGAGGUGGGAGGUACAGUUACACCCUUGUGUAGUCACGAAGUCACAGUGAGGGUCUCUGAAAGGGAGGUCAGAGAUGCCGUAAGGCGCUUACAUGCCGGAUCAGUGCAGGUCAUCAGUUCUCAUAUUGUGCAUCCACCAAAACCACCAACACCCCCACCCCUUACCAUACAGAAGGGGAAUUUUCACAGCUUUGAUUGGUUUUGGUACAGAUUUGCAUACCAAACCCAUGGCCAGAGGCCUGAGCCAAAGAAAUGAAGCUAGGAAGGGGCUGCUGGCAUCUCACCCACCUCCUGAUGCCUGGCACUGAUGCAGCAGGUAGAGCCAGAUUGUCAAGGGCAAGCAGGAAAGGGGAGACGGGAUUUCAAGUGCAACCAGACACGAGGAUUAAAAAGCUCCUGUUCUGCUUUCAGUGAGCCUCUGCUUCACAGCAGCAUGCUUUCACACCACACGCUUCAGGAUGAGAACAUUCUCAACUUGCACACACACAGCUCUUUUUUUGGAGGGGACUCUGUUCUCACUGUGCCCCGAGGCUGCUCAGGCACAUCCUGGACUACUUCACAUGACAUUCCCAAAGCAGUUCUCCCAGCACAAGCUCAGGCCUCAGGGCAGGCACAUUUCUGUACAGGGAAGGCUC